UAUUAUGAUUUUAUUAACAAUAAUCUUACACUAAAUUAUAGUCUCAUCAUGUGGAACACAGAAAACAACACGAUUCCUUAUUCCAAUUGCUCAAAACUCUGCCCGCCAGGAUAUCAUAAAACAUGCGGUUUUCCAUUUUGCUGCCAUAAUUGCACUCCUUGUGCAGAAGGUUACUUUUCACCAAAUCCUGAUAUGGACCGUUGUAUUCCGUGUGGUGGCAACCAAUGGUCAUCUAAUGGGAGUUCUCGAUGUCAGGAUCGGGAAAUAGAGUUUUU